ACUAAGGAUGAAUGAUUCCAGCUUCUCAAACCGAUGCUUCUUUACAAAGGCCAUUUCUAUAUGGACUUCAACUGGAGAUGCUGAUCACGUUAUGAUUGUUGGGUCGUAUUUUCAUUAUGCUGGAGGAUUUGAACCUCCUCAGGCUGUGGAUAUAUCUCCAAAUCCCGGACGCUCUGAUCCCAUGUAUAUCGUUUACUCUAGGAAGCUCUCUACCACUUAAGAGAAAUAUGAACUGAGAAUUUGUAGCAGUGUAUUUACCUAUCAACAGUUACUUUGAUGAAGAAUUUGUUCAUGUUGUACGUCAAUGAAUUUGUUCAUGUUGUACGUCAAAGAUCGCAUAAUAGUAAUAAAUUAAAAAAAUCACUACAAUUUGAACAUGGAUAA